rnacentral:tRNA from 2 species
GCCAGCAUAGCUCAGUGGCAGAGCACACGUUUCAUAAGCGUAAGGUCAGAGGUUCGAAUCCUCUUGCUGGCA